GGGGGGGGAGAAGGUGGGUGGGAGAGAGGAGGAGUAGAUGAGGAGGAUUCUCAGAGACUGGCAAGACUUCCACGCCAUUCUUGCCUCCUUUCUGAUCACAGUCUAGAUCUGGCGCUCUCUUCAAAAUGCAGUCAGUACCAAAAGCACAAAAGAUGCUUAAAAGCUGGACAUAACACAGAUCUGGAAUCCUAUCUUCUUCUUAGGAAGUUGAGGCAGGAGGAUAACAAGUUCAAGGCCAGGCUGGGCAACUUAAGUGAAAUCUUUCAUAAAAGUAAAAAGAGAGCUAAUAAUGUGACUCAGAGGUUCAGCGCUUGUGUAGCCAUGAGCACCUAAGUAAUAUCUAGCAGUAGCAACAUCAUCAAAACAAAAGCAGGAGGAGGAGAGAAAGAAUGAAAGGAAGGAAGGAAGGAAGGAAGGAAGGAAGGAAGGAAGGAAAGGAGAAGGAUAAAAAGAAAAAGGCUGAGCAUAAUAGCACAUACCUGUAACAAAGCACUCAUGAGGCAGAGGCAAGCAUUCUACGACAGACAGCCUGGUCUACAUAGUAAGUUCCAAACCAGCCAAGACUACAUCUUCAGAUCCUAAAACGAAGUUAUCUUAGAAGGCUAUUCUCCAAGCCUCAUCAGCCCUUAAUAACUUCAUCAGAGCAGCUUUGACUCUUCGAAGUGUCCCUCAAUGGCUUGUUGAUAUUUCUUCACAGAAGGCUGGAGAACAUAGCAUGGCCUCCUUGCGUUAACUCAAGAGGAACUCCAUCUUCACAGCUGAGGUGGGGGUGGGAGGGGCUCAACGUCCCAGUGAGUUCUGCAAGUCAGCCCAGGAUACUCAGUGGUUCUCCAAAAAGGACUCGGGUGAGUCCUUACUUUGGUCUGUUGGCUGGCGGUGCCUGUCUGGGGUAAAUGAACAUCCUAGUCUCCCAGGAAAAGCUCAUGAAAUGCUGAUGGACUCCUGUAAUCCUAGCACUCAGGAGGCAAGAG
rnacentral:lncRNA from 1 species